GACGAACGCUGGCGGCGUGCUUAACACAUGCAAGUCGAGCGAGAGCCGGCUGGGGGGUAACCCGUCGCCGGGACGAGCGGCGAACGGGUGCGUAACACGUGGGCAACCUCGCCCCUCGACUCUGGGAGUAACCCCGGGAAACCCGGGAGCUAAUACCGGAUACUCUCGGCCAACCACAUGGUCGGCCGAGGAAAGAUCUGUCGGUCGGGGAGUGGCCCGCGGCCUAUCAGCUUGUUGGUGGGGUAACGGCCUACCAAGGCGACGACGGGUAGCUGGUCUGAGAGGACGACCAGCCACACUGGAACU
rnacentral:rRNA from 1 species